GAACGCUGUCGGCGUGCCUAAUACAUGCAAGUCGAGCGAACGGACGAGAAGCUUGCUUGUCUGAUGUUAGCGGCGGACGCCUGAGUAACACGUGGAUAACCUACCUAUAAGACUGGGAUAACUUCGGGAAACCGGAGCUAAUACCGGAUAAUAUUUUGAACCGCAUGGUUCAAAAGUGAAAGACGGUCUUGCUGUCACUUAUAGAUGGAUCCGCGCUGCAUUAGCUAGUUGGAAUGGUAACGGCUUACCAAGGCAACGAUACGUAGCCGACCUGAGAGGGUGAUCGGCCACACUGGAACUGAGACACGGUCCAGACUCCUACGGGAGGCAGCAGUAGGGAAUCUUCCGCAAUGGGCGAAAGCCUGACGGAGCAACGCCGCGUGAGUGAUGAAGGUCUUCGGAUCGUAAAACUCUGUUAUUAGGGAAGAACAUAUGUGUAAGUAACUGUGCACAUCUUGACGGUACCUAAUCAGAAAGCCACGGCUAACUACGUGCCAGCAGCCGCGGUAAUACGUAGGUGGCAAGCGUUAUCCGGAAUUAUUGGGCGUAAAGCGCGCGUAGGCGGUUUUUUAAGCACGAUGUGAAAGCCCACGGCUCAACCGUGGAGGGUCAUUGGAAACUGGAAAACUUGAGUGCAGAAGAGGAAAGUGGAAUUCCAUGUGUAGCGGUGAAAUGCGCAGAGAUAUGGAGGAACACCAGUGGCGAAGGCGACUUUCUGGUCUGUAACUGACGCUGAUGUGCGAAAGCGUGGGGAUCAAACAGGAUUAGAUACCCUGGUAGUCCACGCCGUAAACGAUGAGUGCUAAGUGUUAGGGGGUUUCCGCCCCUUAGUGCUGCAGCUAACGCAUUAAGCACUCGGUCUGGGGAGUACGACCGCAAGGUUGAAACUCAAAGGAAUUGACGGGGACCCGCACAAGCGGUGGAGCAUGUGGUUUAAUUCGAAGCAACGCGAAGAACCUUACCAAAUCUUGACAUCCUUUGACAACUCUAGAGAUAGAGCCUUCCCCUUCGGGGGACAAGUGACAGGUGGUGCAUGGUUGUCGUCUCCUCGUGUCGUGAGAUGUUGGGUUAUCUCCCGCAACGAGCGAACCCAUUAGCAAUGUAGCCAUCAUUAAGUUGGGCACUCUAAGUUGACUGCCGGUGACAAACCGGAGGAAGGUGGGGAUGACGUCA
rnacentral:rRNA from 1 species